rnacentral:rRNA from 1 species
UACGGAGGAUCCGAGCGUUAUCCGGAUUUAUUGGGUUUAAAGGGUGCGUAGGCGGAAAUGUAAGUCAGUGGUGAAAUCCUGCAGCUUAACUGUAGAAUAGCCGUUGAAACUGUGCUUCUUGAGUACAUUUGAGGUAGGCGGAAUGUGGUGUGUAGCGGUGAAAUGCAUAGAUAUACCACAGAACACCGAUUGCGAAGGCAGCUUACUAAACUGUCACUGACGCUGAUGCACGAAAGCGUGGGUAUCAAACAGGAUUAGA